AGACAAACGUCUGUCCAGUCUCUUCUUUAAAACUCCAGAGUUGGAGCAUUCACCUCUUCUGGAGGCAGAUUGUCCCACUGGUUAAUAGUUCUAAUCAUCUUAGUGUCUAGAUUGAAGUAUAGUCCAAUACAAAGAUAGAUUGGGGAAAACCUUAUUUUUGAGGUUUGAAAAAUAGACCCUUGCAUUCUAAAACAAUCAAGAAAAAGUACAUUAUAUUCUUCUAGCAAUUCGAUAGAAAAUCUGAGAAAAACUAGAGGGAAACAUCCUUUCUUGUUAGGAGGGCUGCUAGCCUUUGGUCAGUAGGGGGCAUGCUUGCAAUCGCAGCGUUUCCGCCUUGUUUUCUCUGGGAAUCUCGUUUCAUCUUCGAGAUUUUGGGCUCAUCCCCGUCCGGAUAAUCCCCUGCCACUACUUCGCGCAUGCGUAUUGUUGCUCAAAGAGAUGUCCUUUGUAGAAAACGUGCGGUUUCCAAUUGCGCGCAGUGGCAUUUUCCGUCUGGCAAGCAAUAAAGCAAUAAACAAGACAGCUUCAAGGAAUGAAAACCGAUGCAGGAGGACGCAAGCCUCUCCUGCUUGGGUGGCUUUGGCUAUUAUAUUUUGUCCCGCUGCCUUGAGGCGCCGCAUGAGAACCGGAAGCGAAGGUUGCGUGAAACAGUCCAUCGAAUCUCAUUGGCUUUCAAUUGAUCACCUUCCGUAGGAUUUCUCCGGCGCAUGCGAUAUUUGCUUUUCCCGGCAUCCUCAGCGAACUAUAAGUAUGAGCGUCGGCGCUUUCUCCAGCAUGAGGACGGAGAAUCCGCGAAUGAGUUUUGGUCGUCUUCCUGCCCAAUUAGACUAAGUCUGACAAAGUAGCCACGCCUCCUGCUGUGUCCUCCAUUUCCCAGACACGACUUAGUGUGCAGCCCAUCAGGGCACGAUUGUGUUGGCUCCUUUAUCAGACUUCUGGGCAGGUUGUAUAAAUUUCCUUUUUCCCUUCGUGGAUUCUUCAUCUCGUUUUCAGCGCUGGGAUCAGUGCUGACUCAAUUGCCCAUUAAUUAGCCUUUCCCCCUUUUAGCUAAAACAAAAAAAAUCAAUUCAUCAGCUAUUUGGACAAUUCCUAAACAAAAAUCAGUCAAGGGAUCGUGGGCUCAACGUUCCCGCAAGAAACGGAGAGUUCUUGUUUACUCAGUCGCGGACCUGACAAGCAAGCGCUGGCUGCAAAUCAGCUGUGAAUUGAGCUACCGCUGCGGGCUUGUUGUUCGGCACAGCUUGCGAGCCCCAGGGAUCUCUCUUUCAUUGUUUAACCUUGUAGGGGAACAGGAGGAAGGACAGAGGGUCACAGCUGAGCCUCAGACCCAAGAACUCCCCUGCGCUCCCGGUUUCGGCGCGCGGCCGCCAUUUUGGACACGGGGCCGGCGCAGCCUGGCAAGUUUAAACUUGCCGUUUUCCAGGCAGCAAGAGAUCAUUAAAUCCAGCAACAGGGAAACUAGCCUUAGAUCCAUGGGAGGCUCACCAGCUGAGCCUCGGACACAAGGACCCCUUUGUUCUCGGAUCAGCUUGGGGCCGCCAUUUUGAAAACGCGGCAGCACAGACUCGUCCCUUUUCAAAUUUGCCGCCUCGGCUGGAAGCCAGCUGAUCGCCUAGCUCCAACACAGAGGCACUAGAUUCCCCUUUAAAUAGAAUUGAUUCAACCAUCCAGCAUCAUGAACGAUUACUGAUGACAAUAUGCAACAUUAAUUAUUUGAGUACACCAUUAUUAAUCAGGUGAUUAAUUAAAAUAAAUAAAUAUUAAUUAAACUAAAUUUAGUGGAUUAAUUAAUCAGAGCUAAUCAGGUAAGCAAUGAAUUAGAUCAUCUGCUGCUAAUAACAGCGACCUGGUGUCGGCGCUCGCCAUAUUAGUGGUUUUGGCCGCCCCGUCUGCCAAAUCAGUGCGCUCUCAGGCAUUACAGAAGGCCAUCUGGAGCAGUUGGUGUGAGAGACCCACCGGUCCAGCGUCCACCACUGUGUAGAGCAGUUACUGGCCCUGCCAGUACCUGGGUUCAAAUCCAUACCCAGCGCUCGGCUCCCAGACCUCAGGGAUGAUGGCAGACAGUGCGGUACAGGAAGCGCCCGGCACCCCCGUUCUUUGGCACGUGGUGGAAGGAGGUGCGUGAAACAGUCCAUCGAAUCUCAUUGGCUUUCGAUUGAUCACCUUCCGUAGAAUUUCUCCGGCGCAUGCGAUAUUUGCUUUUCCCGGCAUCCUCAGCGAACUAUAAAUAGGAGCGUCGGGGCGUUUUCGUUCUUUCUUUGGCACGUGGUGGAAGGUGGUGAGUCUAGGCAAGAACCUUAUUGGUUCCUGUUUGAUGCUCCUGAAAAUGCCCCUUAACUCAAAGAUGAACACUUCGAAGCACAAAGGCAGCCUUCAGGUUUGGUUGAACUUUGCUAAUGAUGGAACAUCCUGUCCAUCCUAUGGCACUUGAUAACAUCCCCCUAUUUGCCAUUCUGACCAUUUUCAGAUCAUGGACAAUGUUUGAUGCUGUGAAUAUAAUCUGGUUCAAAAGCAGAAGCAGGCUUGAAAGCCCAGUCAGGAAGAUGGCAGUGGCAGCUCAUUUUUGAAAUGUGUGGGAGAACUAUUUUGAGACCCUCCCCCCCCCAGGGACACCUGAAGAGGUUUCUCUCUCAGUUCUGUCCAUGUGGCGUAUGGGAGUGUAGGCCUUCGGGCUCCAUGACAUACGGUCCCCUUCCACACUGUUGGAGAGCAAGUUGGAUCUCCGUGGUCUGCAGCCUGCAUAUUCCUACUGCUUCUCUGAGUCUCUGGACUGUGACAGAGGAGAUAAACCAUGCAGGAGACAUUCUGCUUACGCAGGCUUGAAAGCCCAACCAGGAAGAUGGCAAUGGCAGCUCAUUCUUGAAAUGUGUGGAGAAAUAUUUUGGGACACCCCCCCCCCCAGGUAGUUAUUUUAAAAGAAAAUACUGAAAGCAUGAAUUGUUCUCAGUAUUGCUGAGGAAGAGAAACUACUUGGACAAGCUUGGAGAAAUAAAAGUGUUAGAUGAAGCUGCAUCCGAUAGAAGGCCGGCAGUAAUGAACCAGCCAGAGCACAGAACAACUCAAAGCAAUGCAAGAUUGGAAGUUGAGGAGAGACCUGGCCCAUAGAAUGGCCAAGAGUUAGACACAGCUGAAUGGAUAACAUCAUCAAUUUUUAUGCAGCGCAGACUACAGCAGCAAUUAUAGUGCGGGUUAUAGAACAAAACUGCAUCUGCGAUUAAACAGUACAAACUUGAGUUAUUUGAUUUUUCUUAGCUUGCUGUGAGAACUUUAUUUUGUAAAUAAUGUAAGCAAUAGUGGCAAAUAUCUGUAGCUUGGGUGUAGGAUGAGGGUGAAGGUUCAAUUAGGGCAGGGCUCUGCAACCUUGACAACUUUCAAGACUUUUGGAGUUCAGCUGAAGUCCACAAGUCUUAAAGUUGUCAAGGUUGCAGAGCCCUAGUUUAGGGGAUCUCUAAACACUGCUGAAGAGGUUACCUAGUCUGGUAACGAAAUGUUCGGAAAGCAACCCACGAGCUCAGAGAACGAACCUUCACCCUCAUCAUGACAUCUAUGAACCUACUAAUUUGAAUCCAGACAAGCUGUGCUUUAACAAACCCUGCUUAGCCAAAUUUUGGAGAUUCUGCUCGAUGCGACUGCCGUGGCUGGGGGGGGAUCUUAGCUGAACAAAAAGUGUUAAGAGGAACAUAAUCCUGAAUUCCUCUUCCUUUGUCAGUUCUUUUUAUAUAUUACUGAUACUUGAUGGGUGUUUUUGUUUUCCCCUCUUAACAUUGGUUUAUGGCUUUGUAAACCUUUAUACAUUUACAAAGAAAUGUAUGUAUUAAAGACCAGUACCGUUCAUUUUA